rnacentral:rRNA from 1 species
GACGAACGCUGGCGGCGUGCUUAACACAUGCAAGUCGAACGGAAAGGCCCUGCUUUUGUGGGGUGCUCGAGUGGCGAACGGGUGAGUAACACGUGAGUAACCUGCCCUUGACUUUGGGAUAACUUCAGGAAACUGGGGCUAAUACCGGAUAGGAGCUCCUGCUGCAUGGUGGGGGUUGGAAAGUUUCGGCGGUUGGGGAUGGACUCGCGGCUUAUCAGCUUGUUGGGGUAGUGGCUUACCAAGGCUUUGACGGGUAGCCGGCCUGAGAGGGUGACCGGCCACAUUGGGACUGAGAUACGGCCCAGACUCCUACGGGAGGCAGCAGUGGGGAAUAUUGCACAAUGGGCGGAAGCCUGAUGCAGCAACGCCGCGUGCGGGAUGACGGCCUUCGGGUUGUAAACCGCUUUCGCCUGUGACGAAGCGUGAGUGACGGUAAUGGGUAAAGAAGCACCGGCUAACUACGUG